CUCUCAGUCGUUCGCCGGUUCGCGACUAUAAUGCUCGAUCCGUUCUGUCUCCUACCUCCAAAUCUUGAACAGCAGAAUUCCUCGCAUUUCCAGUGACAGUAAAAAU